AUGGCCAUGCACCAGGACUCUGAGGACAUCAAUGACCCCUCACGUUUGUCUGCUGUGCUGGAGAGAUAUGAGAUGCUCCGGCUGCAGGAAUGGGAGAAAGUCAGGUGCUCCAUGCCCCACCGCUGGACCUAUGAAGAAGGCAGUGAGGCCAUCAGGAAGGUGUUUGAUGCCUGUGAAAAAGAUAUACACCAGAGAAGAGAGGACAUACUUAAAGUUCUUUACAUUCCACCUUUGAAUAAGGUGAUGAUGCAAGACCUAAUGAAGCUGCUCAGGCAACACUAUCACCAAAACUCAGUGGUUUAUGACCAGAUUAUUCAAGUGAGUAAAGACACAGCCCAGGAACCGGGCAAUGGUUCAAUUGUCCGUGCAGCUUGUUAUUUAAAACAUGAGAGGUCUCCCUUGUGCAUGAGGUUGUUUUCCACUUGA
rnacentral:lncRNA from 1 species